GGUGCAUUACAUUUUCCGUUCAAGCGUUAAACAAACAACUGUCAAAGGCCGAGUGCGAGUUUUUCUAUUUCACGGACUAAGUGAAUAUCGUAUUUCCAUCGGGAGGCGGCGAACUACCUUGCGACGAGUGUGAGAGUCCUUCAUUUACUACGUCGCGUUUAGUCGGCGCUAAGACGGAGUAACCGGAGAGUUUGACGUUUGCGACGAACUGGGAAAGACAUCGCUCGACUUCUUGACGACAUUUUCAACUUUGACGGCCAAGGUUUUUGAAAAUCAGGAUGAGAGCUAAAGAUCGACAAUGAAUUAGAUCGUCGAUCGACGACCCUUGUGGGAGCAAAAAAGGAAAGCUUUCAAUGUUGGGCAAUCCAGCGAAUGACCCGCGACUUCGUAACAGUCUACAUUAACAGCUUGCAGUAGGAUCAUCCUAUGUCUCGAGCACUAAGCACCACAAUGACUGUAGCUAAUGGUGGUACCUUAGACAAGCCCUUCCAAUGCAAUGUGUGUGAAAGGCGUUUUAGGCAACUAAGCACAUUGACAAAUCAUGUGAAAAUCCACACGGGGGAAAAAACCGUACAAAUGUCCCGUUUGUGACAAGGACUUUCGUCAAUCCAGCACUUUGACGAAUCACCUGAAAAUACACACCGGAGAGAAACCUUUCAAUUGCACGUAUUGUGGCAAACAAUUUCGUCAAUUAAGCACGCUUACCAAUCACCUGAAGAUCCAUACGGGCGAGAAGCCGUUCGAAUGCAUCAUUUGUAAAAAACAGUUUCGCCAAUCGAGCACGCUCAACAACCACAUCAAAAUCCAUAUGACGGACAAACUGUUCCUGUCGUGUACACCGGAGAUCAAGGCGGAAGUGGAGGAAGCAUGAUCCGAGGGUGCAGAGAGUUGUAGUGAUGCGUAAAUCGAUUUCUUGUUAUUCCAUCUCUGGUUUCGAUUCAAGUUUUCGCGAGAUCGGAUAGCUUUCUGCAGGAACAUAAACGACUGAACCGAUGGCUAUGUAAUGUACGUAGCUUCAUAUUUAAAAUAGAAUCACCUCAGUUCUCUUAGUGGAAACAAAAAUACAUUUGCUACGAUUUGUUUUAUUUUUUAUUUCACCUUAUUCUUACGUUUUAUUUUGAUUCAAUUGAUUUCUUAGUUACGUCUGAAACUAUGGGAACCGUAACUGAUACAGAGAUUAAAUGUGACUUAGCGAUUAAGUAAGAGUAAACAUAAAAAGAUUAAAAAUAUUGUAAGGAGAAUGAAACACGUGAAAUAAAAUGAUAUUGUUAAUAAA